rnacentral:rRNA from 1 species
UGCAGUCGAGCGGCAGCGGAAGUAGCUUGCUACUUUGCCGGCGAGCGGCGGACGGGUGAGUAAUGUCUGGGAAACUGCCUGAUGGAGGGGGAUAACUACUGGAAACGGUAGCUAAUACCGCAUAACGUCGCAAGACCAAAGAGGGGGACCUUCGGGCCUCUUGCCAUCAGAUGUGCCCAGAUGGGAUUAGCUAGUAGGUGGGGUAACGGCUCACCUAGGCGACGAUCCCUAGCUGGUCUGAGAGGAUGACCAGCCACACUGGAACUGAGACACGGUCCAGACUCCUACGGGAGGCAGCAGUGGGGAAUAUUGCACAAUGGGCGCAAGCCUGAUGCAGCCAUGCCGCGUGUAUGAAGAAGGCCUUCGGGUUGUAAAGUACUUUCAGCGGGGAGGAGGGUGUUGAGGUUAAUAACCUCAGCGAUUGACGUUACCCGCAGAAGAAGCACCGGCUAUCUCCGUGCCAGCAGCCGCGGUAAUACGGAGGGUGCAAGCGUUAAUCGGAAUUACUGGGCGUAAAGCGCACGCAGGCGGUCUGUCAAGUCGGAUGUGA